AGCGAAAUACCUUGUCGCUUAAUUGGCGACGCGCAUGAAAGGAACAACGAGUCUCCAACUGUCUCGAACCAUUACUCGGCGAAAUUGAAAUGGCUGUGAAGAUGCGGCCUACUGGCAGUAGGACAAAAAGACCCCAUGAAGCUUUACUAUAGCUUGGCACUGAUGUUUUAUUCGGGAUUGUCUAGGAUAGGCGGGAGUGUGUGCCGCAAGGUACAUACAACAGUGUAAUACCGCUCGUUUCGUAUAAAAUAUCUCACCCAAUUCGCCUGCAAACGGCGAAGGGAACACUGUCUGGCGGGUAGUUUAACUGGGGAGGUUGCUUGCUAAAGAGUACCGCAAGCGCGCAAUGGUAUCCUUGGCCCGGAUGGAAAUCGGGCUGGAAGUGCAACGGCAUAAGGAUGCUUGACUGUGAGGCAAACAGGCCGAGCAGGUGCGAAAGCAGGUCAUAGUGAUCCUCGUGUGCUUUGUGGAAGGCACCGGGCUUAACGAAUAAAAGCUACUCCGGGGAUAACAGAGUCAUCGCGCCUAAGCGUCCCUAGCG
rnacentral:rRNA from 1 species